CGCGGGGUAGAGCAGCCCGGUAGCUCGUCAGGCUCAUAACCUGAAGGUCAAUGGUUCAAAUCCAUUCCCCGCAACCA
rnacentral:tRNA from 3 species